rnacentral:rRNA from 1 species
GACGUAGGGGGCGAGCGUUGUCCGGAAUUAUUGGGCGUAAAGAGCUCGUAGGCGGUGUGUCGCGUCGGUCGUGAAAACUUGGGGCUUAACCCUGAGCUUGCGGUCGAUACGGGCAUCACUGGAGUUCGGCAGGGGAGACUGGAAUUCCUGGUGUAGCGGUGAAAUGCGCAGAUAUCAGGAGGAACACCGGUGGCGAAGGCGGGUCUCUGGGCAACAACUGACGCUGAGGCGCGAAAGCGUGGGGAGCGAACAGG